rnacentral:rRNA from 1 species
AGUUUGAUCCUGGCUCAGGAUGAACGCUAGCGGCAGGCUUAAUACAUGCAAGUCGAGGGGCAGCGCAGUGUAGCAAUACAUGGGCGGCGACCGGCAAACGGGUGCGGAACACGUACGCAACCUUCCCAAAACUGGUGAAUAGCCUUUCGAAAGAGAGAUUAAUACACCGUAACUUAAUGAAGUGGCAUCACUUUAUUAGUAUAGCUCCGGCGGUUUUGGAUGGGCGUGCGCCUGAUUAGGUAGUUGGCGGAGUAACAGCCCACCAAGCCUACGAUCAGUAACUGGUGUGAGAGCACGACCAGUCACACGGGCACUGAGACACGGGCCCGACUCCUACGGGAGGCAGCAGUAAGGAAUAUUGGUCAAUGGACGCAAGUCUGAACCAGCCAUGCCGCGUGGAGGAUGAAGGUCCUCUGGAUUGUAAACUUCUUUUAUCGGAGAAGAAACCCUAGCAUUCUUGCUGGGUUGACGGUACCCGAUGAAUAAGCACCGGCUAACUCCGUGCCAGCAGCCGCGGUAAUACGGAGGGUGCAAGCGUUAUCCGGAUUCACUGG